GUGAGUGCCCCCGGGGAGGUGCUAGGGGUCCUCACCGGGCAGCGCGGUCCCAGGAGCGCGAGCGAGCGAGGGGCGCUUCCCGCUGUGGGUCUCUGCAGGGUUCCUCGCCCGGGGACGCUGAGAUCCGCAGCCCAGAGCCUGGGGAGGAGUCGCGGCUGCUUGGACUCCGAAAGGACCCGAGCCGGCGCCAAGGGCUCCGAGGGCGUCCAGCCCAGUGCUGUCUUCCCGGGAGCUGGUCCAGGGCUCAAGCCCAAACGCUGGGCAAAUCCAGAAAGAGAUCGGAGGAGGGCUGAGGAGGUGUGUGGGGAGCCGGGAUGUAGGACUGGGCUCUUCCCCGCGCAAGGGGUGGGAACCCGCGGCGCCCAGAGCCACGCGCGCUCCAGCCGGGGCUUGGCUCCUGCACCGACCCCUCCACACCCGCAGGAGCGGGGGCUGGAGCGGGAAGCAGUGCGGAUCCGGCUCCUCCCGCCUCGCAGGGGUGGGUUAAAGAGGGCAAUUCAGAGGGCUGGCGCCCGCUCCUGCCUGCAGCUCAAGCUCGGGGCUCCAGUCGCCAAACCUCGGGACGGUCGAGAGGUGGCAUGCGCGGCUCUGCCAGGAGCUGCCACACAGGCUCAUGACGGAAGACCCACAAGAAAAGCCCAUCUAACAAGAGAGAAACAUACAAAUUCAUUUACGUUUUCUCUGUCAUGGAGGCCUCAGAAAAGAAGUCCCCCCAACACAGGGAAAGAUUGCAGCUGACUGAUUCACUGUUGGAUUGAUGGAGACACCAAAAUGAAUUAGAUCACAUCAUUUGGAUUCUUGUAGCUUGGAAAUUGAAUGAUCUUAUAAUGAAGAAUCUGAAUUUCAAAAAGAACUGUGGAUCAUGCAGAGAAGAAGAUUCGAACAGCCCAGAGGCUCCUAGCUGCCUCUCUGAUGGAUCUGGUGACUGAGCUGCAGUUGCAGCUGAAGUUUCUCUCUGGUC
rnacentral:lncRNA from 1 species